rnacentral:rRNA from 1 species
CCUACGGGAGGCUGCAGUGGGGAAUAUUGCACAAUGGGGGAAACCCUGAUGCAGCGACGCCGCGUGAGUGAGGAAGAAGUUCGGGAUGUAAAGCUCUAUCAGCAGGGAAGAAAAUGACGGUACCUGACUAAGAAGCCCCGGCUAACGACGUGCCAGCAGCCGCGGUAAUACGUAGGGGGCAAGCGUUAUCCGGAUUUACUGGGUGUACAGGGAGCGUAGACGGCUCAUCAAGUCAGAAGUGAAAACCCAGGGCUCAACCUUGGGACUGCUUUUGAAACUGCGUAGCUAGAGUGCAGGAGAGGUCAGCGGAAUUCCUAGUGUAGCGGUGCCAUGCGUAGAUAUUAGCAGGAACACCAGUGGC